rnacentral:lncRNA from 1 species
CUAAAGAACGUCCAAAACGGACGUCCGGAGCUCCCAAAACGUCAAAAACAUCAAAAAUACUCAUCCUGUCGUAGAAAAUUCGCUGAGCGAAAAUCCUGCUGUUCGCUGAGCGAAUUUCUACUGAAAAACCCAAUUAAUUUUGGGUUCUCGCUNUGCGAGAACCCUCGCUCAGCGAAUCUGCACUCCUGCAGAUUCCCAAUUCUGCAGAUUUGCAGAACUCAACCCCUCCUAUUUUGUUUUAGGCACUUAUAUGAACUUCCAAUGAUCUUAACUCGACCUAUAUGAUGAUUUAAACUUGCUCAUGUGGUCCUAACCCUUCCUAAUACAAUUUCUUAACUGUUAUGCAUUAAUUCCCUUCCUAAAACUUCAAUUUCAUGAACUAAAUAAGCUAAAUCUAAUUUUACUAAUUACAAGUCAUUUUGAACCAGUUAAUCUGUCCCUAUAAGUCAUAUAUGACUUACCUAAUUGUACUAAACUGACCAAAACAACAUACAAUCACAGAGUCAAAUUCUUGCUACUCUAGUUCCUUAAAUUUAGCCUAAAUUGUCUAAUUCACCUAGCUUUCUACCUAUGAAUGCAUACAACAUAAUUUAACUCAUUCCAUCAAUCCCAAUUCAGCAUUUUUAUCAUAUAAAACCAUAUCAUAAGUAAUCACUUUCAAAAUUAAAUCCAGAAAUCAACAGUACAAUGCCUCAUACCCUCGUUUCACCCAAAUUCAUCCUAAGACAGUAUAAUUGAUCAAGAACUUUCGUGUUACCACUGUUUCACAGAUUUCAAACAACAUUUAUAGCACAUGCAGAUUCAAAUGGAUAAGACAAAACAUGAAUUUCUAGCUUCCCUUACCUGGACAAUUUAACUCUUCAACCUCUCAACAGGAUCAACAACACUUGAGACGCAAAUGAGGGUUUUUCUAAGAUUACCUAAAAUCAAGAAAAUUAGAGGUAGAAGAGGGUUUUAGAACCCAUUAUGAACUAUAAAUUUGGGGAAAACAACAAAUUGAGCUACAUGCAACAAAGUUGUUUACAUGAUCACAGCUCAGAGAUGAAAGAAAGGAAGAGGAAUGCUUACCAGAUGGGAGUACCAGAUUGUUUGGUGGAAUUCAAAACUCACAACACCAGGAUUUUCUCAAGCUCCUCCUCAUUUUGAAAGAAAUGAUUCUGUGAGGAAAGUCUAGAGAGAUUGGAGAAAUUGAAGAACAAGAUUUUCAGAGAGAGAGAGAGCGUGUUUAAGAAAAUGGGUUCUUACAAUAUAUAUAUAUAUAUUAUAUUUUGUAAAAACAACAAUUAAUAAUUUUGAAGAGUAAAAGAGCGAAUUUAGUAUAUUUGUUUUCUGAUAGGGAUGAGAUCAU